UACGCCGUAAAGUUACGUUAUUAAAAGUAGGUGAUUUCAUAUAUUUUGGACAAAAAAAAAUAGAAAAACCAGUAUACACGCGGCAUACUAGAGAUAUGCAGUAUCGAAUGAUCGCAUUUUUUGUAACAGAGCCUCUACGAUCGCGAUUUAUUUCGAGUUGCAAAAGGAACAUACAGGAACUGUCCGCCAUAUUGAAUCUUCAUCAGACAUGGCGUGUGAAAGCGAUUGAUACGAGAUAUUAGUAAUGUUGGUUCGAGUCCCUUCCUAACAUGAUUUUAAAAAAAGCGGCGAUUUGAUGGUGAAAAUUGAUCUAUUUGAAUAACAUAGUCUAGAACAGAUUGGCU